rnacentral:sRNA from 1 species
GUGUUUUUUCACACAGGCGGAGCUCGACCGCCGAUUGAAAUCGUGAGGACGUGCAUUGAUGCCCACCGUGAUAUAGUGGCUCCUAAUUUUCAGACAAUAAAUUAAG